rnacentral:rRNA from 1 species
AUUGAACGCUGGCGGCAGGCCUAACACAUGCAAGUCGAACGAGUGGCGGACGGGUGAGUAAUGUCUGGGAAACUGCCUGAUGGAGGGGGAUAACUACUGGAAACGGUAGCUAAUACCGCAUACCAUCAGAUGUGCCCAGAUGGGAUUAGCUAGUAGGUGGGGUAAUGGCUAACCUAGGCGACGACCCCUAGCUGGUCUGAGAGGUGGACCGGCCACACUGGAACUGAGACACGGUCCAGACUCCUACGGGAGGCGGCAGUGGGGAAUAUUGCACAAUGGGGGCAAGCCUGAUACAGCCAGGCCGCGUGUGUGAAGAAGGCCUUCGGGUUGUAAAGCACUUUCAGCGAGGAGGCGUUACUCGCAGAAGAAGCACCGGCUAACUCCGUGCCAGCAGCCGCGGUAAUUC